rnacentral:rRNA from 1 species
GAGAGUCUGACGGGCGCUUCGGUGCUAGUGGCAGACGGGUGAGUAACACGUGGGGACGUACCUUUCGGUUCGGAAUAAUUCAUGGAAACUUGGACUAAUACCGGAUACGCCCUUCGGGGGAAAGAUUUAUCGCCGAUAGAUGGGCCGGCGUCUGAUUAGCUAGUUGGGGAGGUAAUGGCUCACCAAGGCGACGAUCAGUAUCUGGUCUGAGAGGAUGAUCAGCCACAUUGGGACUGAGACACGGCCCAAACUCCUACGGGAGGCAGCAGUGGGGAAUAUUGGACAAUGGGCGCAAGCCUGAUCCAGCCAUGCCGCGUGAGUGAUGAAGGCCUUAGGGUUGUAAAGCUCUUUUGUCCGGGAAGAUAAUGACUGUACCGGAAGAAUAAGCCCCGGCUAACUUCGUGCCAGCAGCCGCGGUAAUACGAAGGGGGCUAGCGUUGCUCGGAAUCACUGGGCGUAAAGGGCGCGUAGGCGGACUUUUAAGUCGGGGGUGAAAGCCCAGGGCUCAACCCUGGAAUUGCCUUCGAUACUGGGAGUCUUGAGUUCGGAAGAGGUUGGUGGAACUGCGAGUGUAGAGGUGAAAUUCGUAGAUAUUCGCAAGAACACCGGUGGCGAAGGCGGCCAACUGGUCCGAUACUGACGCUGA